GGUUAAGCGACUAAGCGUACACGGUGGAUGCCCUGGCAGUCAGAGGCGAUGAAGGACGUGCUAAUCUGCGAUAAGCGUCGGUAAGGUGAUAUGAACCGUUAUAACCGGCGAUUUCCGAAUGGGGAAACCCAGUGUGAUUCGUCACACUAUCAUUAACUGAAUCCAUAGGUUAAUGAGGCGAACCGGGGGAACUGAAACAUCUAAGUACCCCGAGGAAAAGAAAUCAACCGAGAUUCCCCCAGUAGCGGCGAGCGAACGGGGAGGAGCCCAGAGCCUGAAUCAGUGUGUGUGUUAGUGGAAGCGUCUGGAAAGGCGCGCGAUACAGGGUGACAGCCCCGUACACAAAAAUGCACAUACUGUGAGCUCGAUGAGUAGGGCGGGACACGUGGUAUCCUGUCUGAAUAUGGGGGGACCAUCCUCCAAGGCUAAAUACUCCUGACUGACCGAUAGUGAACCAGUACCGUGAGGGAAAGGCGAAAAGAACCCCGGCGAGGGGAGUGAAAAAGAACCUGAAACCGUGUACGUACAAGCAGUGGGAGCCUCUUUAUGGGGUGACUGCGUACCUUUUGUAUAAUGGGUCAGCGACUUAUAUUCUGUAGCAAGGUUAACCGAAUAGGGGAGCCGAAGGGAAACCGAGUCUUAACUGGGCGUUAAGUUGCAGGGUAUAGACCCGAAACCCGGUGAUCUAGCCAUGGGCAGGUUGAAGGUUGGGUAACACUAACUGGAGGACCGAACCGACUAAUGUUGAAAAAUUAGCGGAUGACUUGUGGCUGGGGGUGAAAGGCCAAUCAAACCGGGAGAUAGCUGGUUCUCCCCGAAAGCUAUUUAGGUAGCGCCUCGUGAAUUCAUCUCCGGGGGUAGAGCACUGUUUCGGCAAGGGGGUCAUCCCGACUUACCAACCCGAUGCAAACUGCGAAUACCGGAGAAUGUUAUCACGGGAGACACACGGCGGGUGCUAACGUCCGUCGUGAAGAGGGAAACAACCCAGACCGCCAGCUAAGGUCCCAAAGUCAUGGUUAAGUGGGAAACGAUGUGGGAAGGCCCAGACAGCCAGGAUGUUGGCUUAGAAGCAGCCAUCAUUUAAAGAAAGCGUAAUAGCUCACUGGUCGAGUCGGCCUGCGCGGAAGAUGUAACGGGGCUAAACCAUGCACCGAAGCUGCGGCAGCGACACUAUGUGUUGUUGGGUAGGGGAGCGUUCUGUAAGCCUGCGAAGGUGGCCUGUGAGGGUUGCUGGAGGUAUCAGAAGUGCGAAUGCUGACAUAAGUAACGAUAAAGCGGGUGAAAAGCCCGCUCGCCGGAAGACCAAGGGUUCCUGUCCAACGUUAAUCGGGGCAGGGUGAGUCGACCCCUAAGGCGAGGCCGAAAGGCGUAGUCGAUGGGAAACAGGUUAAUAUUCCUGUACUUGGUGUUACUGCGAAGGGGGGACGGAGAAGGCUAUGUUGGCCGGGCGACGGUUGUCCCGGUUUAAGCGUGUAGGCUGGUUUUCCAGGCAAAUCCGGAAAAUCAAGGCUGAGGCGUGAUGACGAGGCACUACGGUGCUGAAGCAACAAAUGCCCUGCUUCCAGGAAAAGCCUCUAAGCAUCAGGUAACAUCAAAUCGUACCCCAAACCGACACAGGUGGUCAGGUAGAGAAUACCAAGGCGCUUGAGAGAACUCGGGUGAAGGAACUAGGCAAAAUGGUGCCGUAACUUCGGGAGAAGGCACGCUGAUAUGUAGGUGAAGCGACUUGCUCGUGGAGCUGAAAUCAGUCGAAGAUACCAGCUGGCUGCAACUGUUUAUUAAAAACACAGCACUGUGCAAACACGAAAGUGGACGUAUACGGUGUGACGCCUGCCCGGUGCCGGAAGGUUAAUUGAUGGGGUUAGCGCAAGCGAAGCUCUUGAUCGAAGCCCCGGUAAACGGCGGCCGUAACUAUAACGGUCCUAAGGUAGCGAAAUUCCUUGUCGGGUAAGUUCCGACCUGCACGAAUGGCGUAAUGAUGGCCAGGCUGUCUCCACCCGAGACUCAGUGAAAUUGAACUCGCUGUGAAGAUGCAGUGUACCCGCGGCAAGACGGAAAGACCCCGUGAACCUUUACUAUAGCUUGACACUGAACAUUGAGCCUUGAUGUGUAGGAUAGGUGGGAGGCUUUGAAGUGUGGACGCCAGUCUGCAUGGAGCCGACCUUGAAAUACCACCCUUUAAUGUUUGAUGUUCUAACGUUGGCCCCUGAUCGGGGUUGCGGACAGUGUCUGGUGGGUAGUUUGACUGGGGCGGUCUCCUCCUAAAGAGUAACGGAGGAGCACGAAGGUUGGCUAAUCCUGGUCGGACAUCAGGAGGUUAGUGCAAUGGCAUAAGCCAGCUUGACUGCGAGCGUGACGGCGCGAGCAGGUGCGAAAGCAGGUCAUAGUGAUCCGGUGGUUCUGAAUGGAAGGGCCAUCGCUCAACGGAUAAAAGGUACUCCGGGGAUAACAGGCUGAUACCGCCCAAGAGUUCAUAUCGACGGCGGUGUUUGGCACCUCGAUGUCGGCUCAUCACAUCCUGGGGCUGAAGUAGGUCCCAAGGGUAUGGCUGUUCGCCAUUUAAAGUGGUACGCGAGCUGGGUUUAGAACGUCGUGAGACAGUUCGGUCCCUAUCUGCCGUGGGCGCUGGAGAACUGAGGGGGGCUGCUCCUAGUACGAGAGGACCGGAGUGGACGCAUCACUGGUGUUCGGGUUGUCAUGCCAAUGGCACUGCCCGGUAGCUAAAUGCGGAAGAGAUAAGUGCUGAAAGCAUCUAAGCACGAAACUUGCCCCGAGAUGAGUUCUCCCUGACUCCCUGAGAGUCCUGAAGGAACGUUGAAGACGACGACGUUGAUAGGCCGGGUGUGUAAGCGCAGCGAUGCGUUGAGCUAACCGGUACUAAUGAACCGUGAGGCUUAACCUU
rnacentral:rRNA from 1 species